rnacentral:lncRNA from 1 species
UGGGUAACAACUACGUGCCACUGUGUGAUAGUACCCAAUGGUUGACAUUUCUAAAAGCGAAUUUAUGGAGUGGUCACUAAGUAAUGACUAGUUUAGCACCAUGGAUCAAGACAACUUGUUUAGUGUUUAAAGACAUGGAAACUUAAACGAACAAUUUGGCAUCAAAUUCAAUGGCCUAUAGUAUUCGAUAAUGAUGCAUGAAGGACAAAAUGGAUAUGGACAUCACGUUACACUGAUGGUGACGGUAGAAACAUCCUAGCACUGUAAGCAUGACACCAACGAAAUGAAUGGACGACUAUGUUCUUUGACUUCUUUCUGAAAUUACAUCGCCAACGAACACCUUGAUUUCAAUUGAAGCCGUUCCUCUGGUCCGCUCCAAGAAUCAAGAACCCGAAGAUGUCCUCCGCCCGACAACAGACGCUUCUUACAUCCUUCACGCGGUUCCUCCCACGUCCUCUUGGGGAUGGCGUGGUUCAGCGAGCCCUACAUCGCCCAGAGGUCCUUCCGACGAGACGAUAGCGUCUUCGACGUUGAUUGGAGGUCGGUGCUCCGUUUAAAGACGUGGUCCAGAACCGAUCACGUCAUCCCUCUCCUUCUCACGCCUCCUGUCAGCCAUUAGAGUGCUUAGCCGAUUAGAC